CAAACGGGUGCGGAACACGUACAGAACUUUCCUUUAAGCGGGGGAUAGCCCGGAGAAAUCCGGAUUAAUACCCCAUAGUAAUGUUAGGUGGCAUCACUUGAUAUUUAAAGAUUUAUCACUUAGAGAUGGCUGUGCGGCUGAUUAGGUAGUUGGCGGGGUAAAGGCCCACCAAGCCAUCGAUCAGUAACUGGUGUGAGAGCACGACCAGUCACACGGGCACUGAGACACGGGCCCG
rnacentral:rRNA from 1 species